UUUUUUUUUUUUUUCCUUUUAUUUUGUUUUUACUACUUUAGACUUCAUGUUUUCACCUUUUUUAGGGUCGUUCAUUAGGAUUCCUUUACUACAUUGGCACUUACUCUAUAUUACAAUUAAUAAUUAUUUUUCAAUAUAAAAUUUUAUUAUAAGUAUGUUUUGAUUCAAAUUUUUUUCAUUUGAGUGUCCAUUUAAUUGCAUUGCAUACUGUAAAACAAAUAAUAAAAAGAUGCAAUGGUGAUAAUUAUUUUUCCAUUUGAUCAUACACAGUGGUGAACUUCCAGAAUGGAAUUCUGAAGAUGAAAGCUCAGAUGAGGAUUAAUAAUCUAUUUUUUAUAAUUUAAUUUUAUUCAGUUUUUUUUUGUUUCAUCAUCAUGUAAGGUAUGCGUUAUUUUCUCAUGCAACAAAUAAGAACGAUUUAAAAAACUAAUUGUUUUGUAUAUAUUUGGUUUGCAUUUCCCAGUUUACUGUUUAUUUGUAGAUAAAUAUUAAUACUCAAUAUGUAAUAAAUAUUAAUACUCAAAAUUGAUUCAUCUUUAAAAUACAAACUUAAACACCUAACCUAAAAUAGCCAUGUAAUAGUAAGAUUAAAAUUUUGGUAUUAUACUUAGGAUUUAAUAUUAGUAGUAACCCAAACAGUUCCGGUGUUCAUAACCCUGAAGCUAGAAAGUUUACCUAUGCUGAAUUUCCGACCACAUAUGCUUGGUAUAAAAAAGUAAAAGUUUGGAAGCUAAGAUCGAGGAAGAGAAAAAGUUUUGCAAUAGCAAGGAUAACAUACGUUCCACCUUCUAUACGGGAUGCUUAUUACUUAAGAGUUUUGCUUGAUAAAAUUCCAGGCGCAACCAGUUUUGAGUACUUGAAAACAGUAAAUGGAGUUCUUUAUAAAGAAAUUAAAGAUGCUUGCUAUGCAUUAGGAUUAUUGGACGAUGACAAGGAAUAUAUAUCAGCCAUAAUGGAGGCAAGUAUGUGGUGUUUUGGGGUUUAUUUACGGAAGCGGUUUGUCAUACUAUUAAUUUCAAAGAGUGUAUAUGUUCCGCUAAAUCUUUGGGUAGCCACAAGAGAUAUAUUAUGGGAAGAUAUUUUGUUUCUCCAAAGGAACCGCAUGAACGAUUAAGUUACAUAAAAUUUCUCUAUAAUUGUUCAUCUAAUUUUAUAAACCAUUUAAAAAAAUAUAUUUAAAUAAUAUAAUAACUAGAUAAAUUAUACAAAUUGUGAUGCAGGUCUUCUGUUAACACAAGCUCAGAUACGAAACAUAUGUUUGUCCUAGAUCGAAAUGCUUAUGCGGUCAAAUGGGAGUUCUCUUUCAGUUUUCACGAAUAUGCCAACACUAGAUGAUACUGUGAUGGAUCCUAAUGUAAAUAGGCUUAUUAUGGAUGAGAGAGUCUAUAAGCCUCAUGAACAAAAGAAGGCAUACGACAGGUUGUUUGUUAUGUUAACUGAAGAGCAAAAAUGUUUGUAUCAAGAGAUCAUUGAUUCAGUAAAUCGGAACAAGGGUGAUAUGUUUUUUGUACAUGGAUUUGGUGGUACUGGAAAAACAUUCUUGUGGAGUAUUCUUGGAGCUGAUAUUCGAUCUAAAGGUAAUAUUUUUCUAAACGUUGCAUCAAGUGGAAUAGCUGCUUUGCGAUUGGAAGGUGGUAGGACUGCUCAUUCUAGGUUUGUAUACCUAUCAAUGUAAACGAAUUUACAAUUUGUUCGAUCGAUGCAGAAACUGAUCUUGCAUAUUUGAUAAGAGAAGCAAAGCUCAUUAUAUGGGAUGAGGCUUCGAUGAUGAACAAACAUUGUUUUGAAACAUUGGAUAGGACUUUGAAAGAUAUAAUGAAGUGCGAUCGAAUUUUUGGAGGUAAAGUGGUUAUUUUAGGAGGUGAUUUUAGGUAGAUACUCCCUGUUAUAACUGAAGGUGGACGAGUAGCAAUAGAUUUAGCCUCGGUGAACUCAUCAUUGCUUUGGCAAAGUUGUAAGGUUUUAAAACUUACAGAAAAUAUGCGAUUACGAAAAGCUGUUAAUGAUGAAAACUUGCUUGCUCUCGCUGAGUUCUCUAAGUGGCUACUCGAUAUUGGUGAUGGGAAAAUCAACGGGCCUAAUGAUGGUGAUGUCGAAAUAGAAAUACCAGAAGAUUUAUUGAUAACGGUGUCUGAGGAUCCUAUUCAAGCAAUUGUACGUGAAAUUUAUGGUAGUUCUUAUGCAAAAAAGAAGGACCCAAAAUUCUUAAGCAAAGGGCAAUUCUUAGUCUAAGGAACGAUGACGUUUAUAAAAUAAAUCAAUUUAUGCUUUCUCAGUUACCAGGUAUUUAAUCGUAGACAUAGAGAUUUCAUUUUAUACUUUUGAGGAUAUGAUAGACUCUCAAGAGUUCUUAAACAGUAUCAAUGUUUCCGGAUUACCUAAGCAUGAAUUAACAUUGAAGAAGGGAGCCCCUAUCAUGUUGCUAAGGAAUAUAGAUCCUAAAGGUGGAUUGUGCAAUAAUACUGUAACGCCCGUGUCUGGAAAACCGAGUGGUGUCGCUCGACGCCAAAGAAGGGUGUCGAUCGACACUAGCAAUUUUUGGUUCGACGCUUUAAUUUUUAAAUCGUGGGUUCAAUUGGGAUUGGUUUGGGGAAAACCUAGGGUGACGUAAAGGUUAAAAGGUGCGCCGUUUUCCUCAUUCUAGAGUCUUUUUGUCGCUUUGUGAGUUUGAGAGAAAGCAGAGAGUGAUUUUGAUCUUUUUGGUUCCUUUGAGUGAGUUUUUGGAGAGAUCAAAGCUUGUUCUUGGUGGUUCAAGGUUAGUAGAGGCUAGAUCCGUGCUGUACAACAAAAAUGAAGAAGAAUGAGGAACCAAGUGAAGAACCCAGAUGAAGAACAACAUAAUGUAAGAAAAAAAUCCCAUGUUGAAGAGGGAGACCUUUCGUAUUUCCCUCGUUUAUGAUGACAUGGAAUGAUGACAUAGAAUUAUGCAUUUGACGUCGCAAGUCAGCCACUAAACAAAUAUGUAACUCAGCCUGAAUAAAUCAGCCAUCAAACACAACUUAAAUCAGCCACAACAUGAAAAAUAUCUAAGUAAUUUUAAAAACAUUUGUUCGGCUGCCAAAUUCAGCCGUAACGUCAAUAAGUCAGCCAAUUACGACUGAGUUAUGUCUCUGAAACAUAAGUCAGCCAUAACGACAUUGGAUAACUCAGCCGUUGUCGAUAACUCAUGCAACCGGAGAAAGUUAAGUCAGCCGUGUCGAAGACAUAACUCAGCCAAAUUUCUGAUAACUCAACCAUCGGAAUAUAACUCAGCCGUAACUGCGGCUGAAUUAUGCGCGUAAGUCAGCCGUUUGCUCAUAACUCAACCAGAUUUAUAUAAGUCAGUCGUAAUUGUUGGCUGAGUUAUGUCCGUAAGUCAGCCGUUAGCCCGAAACUCAGCUGUUUUCCAUAACUCAGCCGUAACGUAACAUAAGUCAGCCGUAACAUAAGUUAUGGCUGGGUUAUUUAAGAGACGCGCUAGAAUUCUGAUGGGGCAUCUGACGUGGCGAUGUCAUUCUUCGUAAUGAUUUUUUUUCCUAUAACGUAUAAAAAGGGCACGCUAAGAAUUAAAAAAACCCGAAAUAUCUAAGUUAUAAAAAAAGAUUUAGCAGGUUUUGGUCAUUUAGCCUAAAAUGUGCUAUAUCUUAGAUAAUAUGACAUAGAAGAGUUCCGAGGAAGAAGAAGGAUAUGGAAAGUGGUAGGAGAGCGGGUAUUUGUUUUAGUUACAAUGACAAAUUAUAUAUUAUGGAAAAAAUGAUGGCCAAUUAAGAAUUAUAUUUUCUCCAUUUCAUUGCCAAAGGAGAAAGAUACUUUUCUUGCUAUUACUUUCAAAUAAGUGACCAAACGUGCUAUUUUCUUGCUAGGGAAGUUACCCGCACUGAUGCACGGUAAGGUGUUAUAGAAAAUACCCUACGUUAUGUACUAUCUUUCUACUUAUUUUGUAAUAAAGUUUUGAGUACAUCUACGUAGACGAUAAGAUGUAUGCAGACAAACUAACACAUACGAUAAGUUUCAUUAUUGAAAAUGUAUAUUUUACUAUGUAUUAGAUUUUUUUACGUACUCAAGCAAAACACAUAAUAGUUCAUACUGAAUAAAAAUGAACUUUAGUCUAUUAAACAAUGAUGGAAAAGAGACUAAGAAGUUUUGGAAAAUAUGCAUAGGGCAAUCCUUUUCUAAAUAAACUAGGUUCGGACCCGCGCUACAGCGCGGGGGAAAUAAUUACAUAUAUAUAACUUUUAACGGAUUAGAAUAUGUUAUAUUUUAAUUUUGUUAGAAUGCAGUCGAUUACGGUAAAUCAUAUAUUUUUAUAAUAUGUUUAAAUCAAAUAAUAAAAGAAAAAGCGAGUAAAUAAUCAUAUACUGAGUUUUGAUACAAUUAAAAAAUUUAACAGCACGAAAUAAUAUUUGUCGAUAAAUUAUUCAUUUUGACUAUUUUUGUAGUAAAAGUAGGAAUAUACGUAAAAUUUACAUAUUUACAAUAUUGUUUUUUGAAAGUCCAACUCGUAACAGAAUUCAUUUCGUAAAAAACAUUAUUCGUAACUCGCUUUAUCAUUAUAAUUGUGAUUUUAACAAACUACCCGUGAAUUAUCUAAAAUUUACAUAGUUUGAUAUAUAAUAUAUUUUAUCAAUAAAAAUUAUGUCUCCAAAAUUACAUUUAUGUCGUCAAAAAAAUAUUUCAAUAUUUUAAAUUCUAAAUGUUUUAUAUAUUUGAAACUUAUAUUUAUAAUAUUUUGAAACUAUUUGAAAUUUUAAAUAUGCUUAUGUAACAAUGGUUUUAAUAUUGGUCAUAUUUAUAAUGAUUUUAAACCAUUGUCCAAAAUAUUUAACCGAGUGUAGUUGAGUAUUAUAUGUUCGUUUUGAAAAAUUCAAAUUGCAACAUAUGCAAAAAAAGUUAAAUUUUUAUUAAAUAUUUAUAUUAUAUAGUAUAAUAUCAUAAAUUAAAAAUAAUAUCAAAUAAAAGUGAAAGAAGAAUAAUAUUUUUAAAUAGAUUGUAUUAAAUUAGUUAGAGAAAUAUUAGUAAAUCAUAUAAUUAGUUAUGGAAAUAAUACAAUCCUAAAAUUAGAUUUGGAAAGUAUCCGGUGUAUGUAUCCAAACCCAUUAAUCUAUCCAAUUUUAAAAGAUCCAAUUACAAAUUUCGGGUAAUUUUUUGAAAUUGACCCGACCCGGAAGCACUUUUUAUACUUCUCUUUUACUAAUAUAGGGAUUAGACGUUUUGAAAUACUUCUUGAAAACCACAUUAAUUGUCUUGCUUUGACACUUACCAUUUGAAUCAGUAAUUAAAAUCUUUAAUCCUUUCCUACUUGUGACCCUAGAAAGUGCCACAUAUAGUUGUCCAUGUGUGAAGACAGACUUUGGCAGAAACAACCCGACAUAUUCCAGUGUUUGACCUUGGCUUUUGUUUAUAGUUAUCGCAAAGGCAACAGCAACAGGAACCUGUCGACGCCUCAUACAAAAGGGAAACUUUGUUUCUGGUGGAGUUGUAAACAUCCUAGGGAUAAGAACCUUAGCAACAUUGUUGUCACUUGUCACAAUCCUUGCUUCUAAAACAUGAUUAGGCAUCUGAGUAACAGUCAACCUCGUACCAUUGCACAGUCCCCCUUUAGGAUCUAUAUUCCUAAGUAACAUGAUUGGGGCUCCCUUUUUCAAUGUUAAAGCAUGCUUAGGUAAUCCUGAAACAUUGACACUGUUUAAGAACUCUUGGGAGUACACCAUAUCGUGAAAUUCACUUGUGUCUGAAGUUUCGAUGCUAUCUGAACUAAGAUAUAUCAUCUCUUCACAUGUGUAGAAGACUUAGUUAAAUUAGUUUUAAAGAUAAAUUAUCAAGAAUAAACUUAUAUAAACAAUAAUAUAUACCUGGUAAUUGAGAAAGCAUUUAUUGAUUUAUUUUAUCAACAUCAUCGUUUCUUGGACUAAGAAUAGCUCUCUUUCUGAAAAGUUUUGGCGACGUCUCUGUUGCAAACGAAACACCAUAAAUCUCACCAAAAAUUGCUCGUAUAAGAACAUCACAUUAUCUUUUUAGUAAAUAUUCUGGUAUCUCUAUUUCAAUCUCACCAUCGUUAGGCUCAUUGACUUUCCCAUCACCAAUGUCGAGUAGCCAUUUCGAAAAAUUUAAGAGAGCAACCGCAUCUUCAAUAUUAACUGCUUUCCUUAAUCUCAUAUUUUUUGUAAGUUUCAAAACCCUACAACUAUUCCACAGAAUUGAUGAGUUUAUGGCUGCUAAAACAGUUGCAACUCUACCACCUUCGGUGAUUACAGGUAGGAUAUGUCUAAAAUCACCACCUAAGACGACCACUUUACCUCCAAAAGUUCUAUCGCACAUCAAUAUAUCUUUCCAACUCCGAUCCAAAGUUUCAUAACAACGUUUGUUCAUCAUCAGAGCCUCGUCCCAUAUAAUGAGUUUUGCUUCUCUUAUCGACUCCGCAAGAUAGGAUUCAACAUUGAUCGAACACGUUGAAAACUUGUUCAAAUUGAUAGUUAUGCAAAACCUAAAAUGAGCUGUCCUACCACCUUGUAAAAGCAAAGCAGCUAUGCAACUUGAUGCUACAUUUAGAACGAUAUCACCUCAAGAAUGAAUAUCAGCACCAAGGAUACUCCACAAGAAUGUUUUGCCAAUACCACCAAAUUCAUGGACAAAGAACAUACCUCCCUUAAUGUGAUUGGCAGAAUCAAUUAUUUCUUCAUAAACUCGUCGCUGCUCAUUGGUCAACAUAGGUAACAACCUCUCGCAAUCCUUCUUUUGUUCAUGAGGCUUAUAGUUUCUCUCAUCAUUGAUAAGCAUAUUCUCAUUAUUAUCUAUUACUGCAUCUUUUGGUAUUGGCAUAUUGGUAAAAGCUGAAAAAGAACUUCCAUUAGAAUGCAAGAGCGUUUCAAUCUCAGCCAAACAUAUGUUAUGUAUCUGAGCUCUUGUUAACAUUAGUCCUGCAUCAAAAUAUAUAUAAUUUAAAUACGUAUAUUUACGAUUAGAUUAACAAUAUAGUCAUUAAACAAAUAUAGCCCUAAAUAGUAAUAUAUAUGUAAAAUUUUAAAAUCGUAGCGAAUUAUUUGUAAGAACGAAUAUACAUACCUUGAUCAUUCAUAUGUUUCCUUUGCAAAAAUAAAAUAUCCUCACACAGUAUGUCUUUUAUCGCGUGCCUAAAUUUCAGCGGAACCGAUACACUUUUAGAGAUCGCAAAUAAGUUCCUCAAAUAUGCUCCAAAACACCACAUGCUUGCUUCGUUUAUAGCGGAAAUGUAUUCUUUAUCAUCAUCUAAUAAUCCCAAUGCAUAGCAUGCAUCUUUAAAUUCCUCAUACAGAACACCAUUCAUCGUUUUUAAGAACUCGAAACUGAUCAGCCCUAGAAUUUUGUUUAGUAAAACUCUCAAGUAAUAAGCAUCCCCUAUAGAAGAAGGCACAUAUGUAAUCCUUCCUACCGAAAAAAAAAUUCCUUUUCUUGGACCUUGGUUUCCACAUUUUUCUUUCUUAUACCAAGAAAAUGCGGUUGGAAAUUAAGCAUAUGUGAGUUCUCUUGCUUCAGGAUAUAUUUUAUGGCAUUCCAUCCAUCCUAAGAAUUUAGACCCUCCUACUGUUGAUCGGGACAUGACAUCUUCUAUAGAUCAUCUUCAUUGUAAACAACUAAUUCCUCUCCCAGAAAAUGGAAAGGAAGUUUUUUACGGGUGUCGUACGAUAGCAUAUCGGAAAAGCGAAUAAUCUCACAUGCGGAUGCAUACCUGGCAAAAUAAAUUCAAAAAUUAUGUAUAUAUAAUUUAUUUGAAAAAAAAAAUCAUAUCUUAUUUAAAAGUAAUUUUGAAAUUAUUUACGUUACCUAAAAUUGAAAUAUUUUUUUAUUUCGUUUUCAUCUUCCUCUCCCACUGAUGCUCUGAUAUAAUCUCGCCCUUUUUGAUGUAUUUAAAAAGAUAUUUGAUUGAACGUGACUGGGUACACCACUCAACAUCACGAUAAUAACGGAUAGAUAAUUCCCGAUUGUACGGAAUAACAUACAUGUUAUCUAGAUUUGAAUCUUUCUUAUGUAUAAAUCUCCCAUCUUCUCUCCGUUUAUAUAUUGGAUAACCAGCAUCAUCGAUAACAGUUUUUUCAUGGUAUUAUUUCGGAAAGUGAUAUCAGAACCGAACAGGACCUGGAGUUGACCAGACCAGCCGGUUCAAGCAUCAACAAACCGUACCGGACCAAAAAGGAGAAUUUUGGCGAAUGUAGAGUACUGAUCAAGCGCAAGGCCUAGAGUUGAUUAUUCAUCAUAAAAUCACCCCUAAUAAGACUAAUGGUUCAGGAAAAAUCAGAUACAAACAAGCCAUUUCAUCCAACAUUCAUGAUGUACCACACGGAUCAUGCCAAAUCCAAGUUGAUCGACCAAAUGAAGACUUUUCUCGACCAAUAUUGAGUAUUCACUCGAAAAGUGCCCAUUGUAUGAAGAUCUAUCGAGCCAUAAUUGAAGAAGAACGAUCCAAAAUCCUAAUCGUUCAUGAAGACCCGCUUCCACCAUACCACGAGCAUGCGUAUGGAACCACCGGCCAAACUACACGACCAUUCAAGGUUGGAUUUGAAAUCCAUCCACAAUAUGGGUAUUUUAAAAGGAAUGAACGAGCAAAAUUAGUCCCCCAUCGAGGUAUUUUGAGAGAUGGCCAUGAGAGUGUCCUCGGACAUGUUCAUUGGCGAGCUAAGCCGCAGUUUAGAGAAUUCACUCGUCCAUUUGAUCUCGGCUUCAUUAUUCACCAAGAAAAAAAGUAUUUGGAGCAUAUUUAUCGAGCUAAAACACCCCUGGUUCGAGUUGGUUUAGUACUUACUCAUUUGGCCUUAGCCGAGGGCCAUGUGUUACCAAAAAUGGAACUUUCCUUAUUUGGUUCCUUCAAGGCUUUUGUUUGGUGACCUGGAGAACUUCUUUAUCAUCUAGAGACAAGCCAAGAUGCCACACCAUGCACCAACAUCCAGAGGAUUAGGCGAAUCCUCUUGGACCUGUACUUUCCUAUUCUAGAAGCAUUUACACUUGGAGAUUUAAAUCUACAACGGCUCUGACACGCUAUCAAGGCUGCUGCGUUUUAGAGACACUAAAACCAUUCCAGAGAGUCCCAAGAUGUCGCACCUAUCUUCCCAAACUCUCAAGAUACAAGCUACUAGACAUUCCAUAUUUGGCCGAUUUUCUCAUAAAGACACAAACGGCUCUAUGCUUUAAAGUUUGCGAUUCUUUUCUUGUUUUAGCUUAUUAGGACCGUUGUCUAUGAGCCUAUAAAAUCUCAGCUUCGUUUUCAUUGUUCGGAUAUGCGAAUAUUCUCGAGAGAAUAUCGGAGGAUUGGCUGUUUACUCGACAGUAUAAAAGAAUGAUCGAGGGAGCUAGGGUUUCGGAGGCGUUGCCGUGUGCUAUGCGCGCCGUCAAGAGAUAUAUCGAGAAAAGAGUGAAAAGAAUGAGUCAUGAUCGAGAGUGUUAUGGAAGAGAUCGAGAAUUCGUGUUAACGGAUCGAGAUUAACAAAGGGAAAUGAAGACGGAUCGAGAUUAACAAAGGGAAAUGAAGACGGAUCGAGAGAUAACGUUAGAAAUCGUCUAAGUAUCGAUAUGAAGGAGUUAUCAUGAAUUCGUGCUCGACGAUCGAGUGUUCAUCGAGAAUCAUCGAGAAAGAUGGUUAGAGAUCAAGUGGUAUCAAGGAUAUGCGAGUGAUCGGUGGAUCGUAUCGAGUGAGAUCGAGUGAGAUCUAGCGAGAUUAAGUGAGAUCGAGUGAGAUCGUGUGGUAAAUGUGUUGUAUCGAGAAAGGUUGCACGUCGGGGGCCGAAGAUCGACAAGAGAGAUCGAUAGAUGAGCUACCGGACGAUGCGUAUGUUCGGAUGAUCGAGUAUGUCGAUGGGAUCAUGCGAUACCCUGGUGAUACGGGUGGUUUACUCGAAGGUUGAUCGAAGUGUACGGGCAAAGAAGGAUGAUUGGCGACUAGGUGUCGAUCGUAGCAAGUGGCGGAGAAGAAUGUCCGCGGCUGGACGGAUCAAGCAUCCAGCCCAUCUCUUAUUGUUACUCGGUCACUUGGGGAUGGUUGGUUGUGUGACUAAGAAACAAUAAGGGAUGGUCAUCGGUGAACGAGGGAGAUGAUGUUCGGUUAUGUGAGAAUGGAGUCAUGAAGGUUGAAUCGUGAGCAGGGUGAUUCGGAUGGAUCAGGUACGAUUCCGAGACUCCGAUUCUAUAAGGUACAUAGUGAGGUAAAUGUACUCUUAAAGUUGAUGUUAUGGCUUUAUUAUGUUUAUGAACGUGUUAAGUAUGGUUUUGGCAUGUUUUUAAGUAUGCUUUUGUUAAGUUGAUUUCUCGCCGGAAGUCUCGUCGGAAUGUUUUCUCCGGUGAAUUUUGAAAAUUCGGGUUAGGGUCUUUCAAGUUGGUAUCAGAGCGCGGUCGCUUCUAGAACGGUUCUCUAAUGGAAAGAGAUAAGUCUAGAUCGAUAAAGUGCGGAAAAUUCUAUGGAAAGGCAUUAAAGGAUCGAUGUUGGUAUUCGGUCCGGAAGCGGUCAAGCAUGAAUCGGAUAAGGAAUUCUGAGAAUGAAGUGCAUUCGGUCAAGUAGCAUGUUCGCAUGUUGAUGAAGUGAUCGAGAGUCACUAAGGUGGUGUACUAAAUCGGUCAAAUCAUUGGGAAUGAAUGAUCGAAGUCAUAGAAAUGGCUAAGGAGGAAAGGAAGUGGGUCAUUGCCGGUUAUGGAAGUGUAAUGGCUACUCUAAUGAACUGAUUAAGACGGUAAGAAAAGUUAAGUGUUAUGCAGCGAUUGGGUUCCAAGAAAAGAGUAAGUCGGUCGAGGGUGGCCAGAAGGUUCCAUUGCAAGACUCUUAUAGAGUGAAGGAAUACCGAAGGUGAAAUAAUCGGAGAAGUAAUCGGAUGAUGGUCUAUCGUUUCAAGAGAAGGUUCGGUCGAGGUGAAAGAUCGAUGGUAAGUUGUUGGAGCCAAGUGAAGUUUGAUCAAAGGUUUCAAGAGAAAGAGAAUCGGUUUGAGGGAGCCGAAAGAAUUGAAUAUGUUCUUGUGGAGUUCACACAAUGGUAAUGGAAUAUCAUUGUCCGUGAUACGGAAAGAGUGAGUUCAGGAAUUGCAUCUCGGGAAGUAAGUGGGAACUUGCAUUCCCGGGACCGAACUAUUGCUAUGGGAAGGUUUCAGUAAUAAUCAGCUUAAAGUAAAGAUUGGUUAGCCAGGAAGUGUACAUGAAGUACAAAGUGAUGUUAAGGCAAAGAGUGGCUAGGAAGUGUUAUCAUGACGUUGGCUAGAUAAAGAUCUAGUAUAUCCGGUAAGGGUAUGAUUAUGGGCUGAAUGGUGAGAAUCGAAGUUCUUGGUUUUGGAAUGGAGUUCCUUGAAGAAUUACUGAUGGCUAUAGAGAGCCGGAGGUAAGGUGCAUUCGGUAAAGGUUGAGCAUUGUACAUUAAAGUUGAAAAGUAAAGCGAACCUGUUGUGAAGGUUGGAAAUAGCUCCAUCCAUCAAACGAGACCGAUGAGAAAUGUUAGAUGGAUAUCUAGCAUCUCGGAUUGAAAUCCGGACAAGUAUGAUCGGUAAUGGAAACCGAGAUACCGAUGAUGGAAACCGUAAGGGUGAGGAAACGUUCAAGGAAGUCUUAACGGUCGGUGAUGAAUGUUGGCUGGUACUGGACAGUACGUCGACAGACGGUACUCGGACGGCUGACAGCACGAUGCGAAAGCUAUGUGAUAGAUUCCUUGUCGUGAAUCUAUACUCCAAGGACCACUUUGCUAGUUUUGAAUUGGAAGUGGAGGGAUUGAUGGUGAACGAUGGAUAGAUCUUGAACAAAACAGCGGAAUGACGAUGAAUGAGGGUGAUGACGAGAUGGAGUGGAUGCAGCGGAAUGAAGGGGAGAAUGAGGUGUACUUCCAAGAGGGAUGAGAAACUCUUAGACUACAAGCUUGGAUCCAACUUAGAUAUUACACACUAAGAAGAAAACAAGUUGAAAAGAUAUUACACACUUUUCGGAUCAAACAAGUAAAGAGAGAGUUUUAGAAUAAAAUGUUUGAUGUUUUGCCAAUGAGAGAUACAUGAAGUUUAUAUAGAGAAGGGAGGACGAAGGAGAGAAGAGAAGAGAAGAGAAAACAUGCAAGAGCAUGCACAAGUGUCUUGUAAAUUACACUCAUGCAAGCUCAUACAAGAGUCUUGGAAAUAACAACAACUAAUAAAUGCUAAGUUGAAGAGAAAAGGGAAAAUGGGCCAAGGCUUUGUGAGUGGGUCUUGGACCACGAAUUGGGCUGGUAAAGAUUGGCUUGAAAGUGUUACUUAGGCCUCAUUAUAAACCUUGUCAAGAAAACCCAUUGGGACAAAACUUGACAAGGGAAAAAGAGUGCAUAAGCAACACUUAACCCUUUAAAACCAUUUGAGCCGUGAUAACUAUUAAGGAGGAUUGAGCAACAUCUUCUUGAAUCUUGUUUAGCUCCUUGAGUAAUCCAUUGAUGUCUUGGUUGAACUUCUUGGCUCUUGAUCUUGUUAGAGGACCCGCCGGGACGAUAAAUGCUACCUCCGGUACAAUCUGUUCUUCGUGUGGUUCAAGUGGAUUGGCCAUGAUUUCAUCACUAUGGGUAAAGUGCAAGUCUGAUUCAAGUAAUUGUUAAAGAUAGGUUAUGUCCAGAAAUAAGUAUAAGAUUUCACGAGAGGAAAUGGAAAUCCUUUAGUGAUUAUCUAAGGCAGUGAGUUGUCGAAAAUGUGGUGUAAAGGAGACUGCACCGAAGGUGUCCGAAUUGUUUGGAUGGUUAUCUUACAUCCUCGGAAAAGUUCGAAAUGAUUGUGGUGGUCUGAAGUAAGUGCAAGGAUUCUUUCGGGAAAAGGAAAAACAUGAAGUUAAGUUUACAUGAUGAAGUUGGAAGUGGAGCAGGUGUAGGCUAAGGAAAAGCCGGAAAUGAAGAAUGACUAGCUUCACUAGAGGUGAGCUAUUUUCUAAGUUGUUGUAGUCUGAGUUGUUCUCUUUCAAUAGGUUUGAUUAGUCUUGAGAACUUGCCAUAGUUUAUGUGUUAUCGCGAUAAUGUCUUGAUAGUUAAUCGAUGGUGGUUCCGAUAAUUAUCUUGAUGGUAUGUUUUUGACUUGCAUGAUUGACUCAUGAGACCGAUAGUAUGUUUUUGAUUCCUGGAUUGAGCUUAGUGACUUCGUGACCGUGGCCUCUGUAUUCAUUCUCAUUGCUUAGACUCAAUGAUGUUGCUUGCUUGUUAUGGUUUAUGUUUAUCGCGAUAAUGUCUUGGUUGAUAAUCGAUGGUGGUUCCGAUAUUCAUCUUGACGGUAUGUUAUAUUAUAAAAUGACAAGUAUCCUUGACUAGUUAAAUCAAUUGUUAGAUUACAAUAGGGACAAUGUCGAGAAGAAUUUGUUGAGGUAGGAAAUGAGUUAAGUGGGAAAGCUUAAGUGUGUUGUUGGUGAGCUUUGGAAGUACAUGGUUUAUAAGUUGAUGUGUUCUUGGUGUACAUGCGUGUGCUAAGGAACAGUUAUGUAGGUGUACUUGGGGACUUACGAGUCUGCCAUGCAUAAUGUUAUGUUGGUCUCGGAGACUUACGAGUUUCCUUGACGAGAAUUUUGGGCCAUUUGUACUUGCCAAGGAAGUAGCCACAACACGUGAAAGAUCUAAGCGAAUGUUGAGAAUGUUAUGGUUGAUCAAAGGUAAUUACCAAGUAUCGGAAAGUAAGUGGCUCUGAGAGCAAAAGAUUAAGCGAGGUAUAAGUAUGUUGAAGGUCUAGGUGGUUGAUCUAGUCUAUCCGCGAGUUUAAGGAAAGACUGCUCGGAAGGCUUUAGAUAAUCAUGCUUGACAAAUCACGUUGGUGGAAAUAAGUGAAGUUUGACAUUACGUGUAAUAUGAUCAUGGUUUGGGAAUCAGAGAAUUCACCAAGGUUUGAAUGUUGGAUCGCUUACGGGAAUUUUGAAAGUUCUCCGAGGCUUUUGGUAAUUACUCGGUAAAGACUGAGAGUUUUUGCCAAGGUUGGAUGUAAUGACAAAUGGUUAUGCAGAUAAAAAAGAUUGGAAGGUGGAUAAGACGGUUAAUCCAGAAGUGUUGUUAAGACCAUGGAGAGAUUGGAAAAAAAUGAAUAUUGGCAUUAAGAUCGAUGCAAGGGUUUGUUGGGAUCGAAAGUCCGGAAAUGUGCAAGGAUCAUGGGUCAUCCGAGAAUGUGCGUAGGAAGCGGGAUAAGUGGUAAGUUCUGAAAAGUUUAAGAAGUUCCAGAUAAUUCUUGAAAGGUUCAAGAUGAAGUGCGGAUGGUUAAGGUUUAAAAGGAAAUCGGUAUGAACCAAAAUCAUGGUGGAAGUAUCGGGCCGAGAGUGUUGGUCCGAGUAAGAAUAUGGUGUUAAGGUAAAUGUUGCCAUGAGAAUUGGAAAGUUUUCUUAGACAUGAUCAUGAAUAAAAAUGUUGUUUGGAGAUUAAGAGUGGAAGUGCUCAAGUUUGGUUGUUUUGCGGUAUGAGGUGUUGGAUGUGUAAAGUUCGAUAAGAACAUGAUAAGGAGAUUGUGUCCGGGAAGGAUGCAUAAUGGUUAGGUGUUGAGCAUUGGGAAAUGUUUAAUGCUAAGAUGGUUAAGUAUGCACAGGAGGUAAGUUCUUUCGGGUAAGUAUAAAUUCUCCCACGGAGGGUUAGAAAUGUUACUCGAAUGUGAAGGUUUAACGGCCAAGAAGGUCGAGAAAGGAGUGCAUAUUCUUAUGCGAGUAUGUCGGCAAGCAGUUUGCUGAAUUGAAAGUGUCUCCGGAUAGUCAUGUGUAAGAAAAGUGGGAAUUUGUCCGGUAUGAAUUUGUGCGAAUGUUCAGCUCAAGUCUCUUGGGAGAUAAGAAUCAAGGAAUAUGUGUGACGUAAGUCCGGGGAGGACUAAGGUUAAAGGGUAAAGAUCAGCACGUGAAGUGGUUUUGAUCGAGAAACAUUUAUGAGAAUCGAGUAAAUUAAGGUAAGUGAGCAACAAGAAGGGUGUAUCGGAUGCAAAACGUUGCAUUACGGCAUUGAUGAAGGAAUGUUGGUACAAGUGGUUGAAUGAGUUUUAGAAAAGCUCAAGUAUUGGAAUGUAAUCCGACAAUAGAGAAAUUCGAGGACGAAUUUAUUCUAAGUGGGGGAGAGCUGUAACGCCCGUCUCCGGCUUUUCUUGGAUGGUAUCCGGAAGCCUAUUGUCGAGUAUAUGUGUAAGUUUAUCGAAGGAUUUGUCAAUGAUCGAGAAAAUGUUAGAUGUGAUCGAAGGUUUAUCGAUAAGGAUCGGUAAUAGCUGAUGGAAAUCCGAAUGUUCGGUGAGGAUCGAUGUAUUGUUCGGUUCGUUCGGACAAGAGUGAUCUUUCGGACAUGUUUUGUCGGAAGCUUAUCUAGAAUGCGGAAUUAUCGGAUGGUUGUCGGAAGCUAUUGAUGUCCGGACAGUAUUGGUCGAGUGGCUGUAGACAAAGUGUUAGUCCGUGAUCGAGAGUGUUAUGGAAGAGAUCGAGAAUUCGUGUUAACGGAUCGAGAUUAACAAAGGGAAAUGAAGAGGGAUCGAGAGAUAGCGUUAGAAAUCGUCUAAGUAUCGAUAUGAAGGAGUUAUCAUGAAUUCGUGCUCGACGAUCGAGUGUUCAUCGAGAAUCAUCGAGAAAGAUGGUUAGAGAUCAAGUGGUAUCAAGGAUAUGCGAGUGAUCGGUGGAUCGUAUCGAGUGAGAUCGAGCGAGAUUAAGUGAGAUCGAGUGAGAUCGUGUGGUAAAUGUGUUGUAUCAAGAAAGGUUGCACGUCGGGGGCCGAAGAUCGACAAGAGAGAUCGAUAGAUGAGCUACCGGACGAUGCGUAUGUUCGGAUGAUCGAGUGUGUCGAUGGGAUCAUGCGAUACCCUGGUGAUACGGGUGGUUUACUCGAAGGUUGAUCGAAGUGUACGGGCAAAGAAGGAUGAUUGGCGACCAGGUGUCGAUCGUAGCAAGUGGCGGAGAAGAAUGUCCGCGGCUGGACGGAUCAAGCAUCCAGCCCAUCUCUUAUUGUUACUCGGUCACUUGGGGAUGGUUGGUUGUGUGACUAAGAAACAAUAAGGGAUGCUUAUCGGUGAACGAGGGAGAUGAUGUUCGGUUAUGUGAGAAUGGAGUCAUGAAGGUUGGAUCGUGAGCAGGGUGAUUCGGAUGGAUCAGGUGCGAUUCCGAGACUCCGAUUCUAUAAGGUACAUAGUGAGGUAAAUGUACUCUUAAAGUUGAUGUUAUGGCUUUAUUAUGUUUAUGAACGUGUUAAGUAUGGUUUUUGCAUGUUUUUAAGUAUGCUUUUGUUAAGUUGAUUUCUCGCCGGAAGUCUCGUCGAAAUGUUUUCUCCGGUGAAUUUUGAAAAUUCGGGUUAGGGUCUUUCACAAUCCCCUCUUUUGAAACUCUAUUAUAUACAUAGCUGCAAAAAAAAAAUUAGUUUAGUUUUACCAUAUAGGUUUUUCUAAACCAUUUAAAUUAUGAAUACCUAUUAGUAAUAAUAAGAAAUAUAUAAGAAUUCACAGUGCCGAAUGUUUUCUCUUUAGUCACUUGAUACAUGAGUUUAUCUAGCUUCAUCUUAAAAACUCGGCAGUAAAUAUCUGGUCUAUCUUCUUGUUUAAGACGAUGCCUACUUAGAUAACGAACAACUUCAUGCCACUUGGGAUUGCAUGUUAUCGUUAUGAAAAGGUCGGGGAAACCAAAAAACUUGCAAGUAGCCAUCGCAUCCAAAUAAUGUUGCAUUAUAUACCGUUUGCCACUGGUGAAAGAUGAAGGAAUGUAAAUUCUUUUUCCAUGUUGGGAAAGAUUAGUCUUCCCUUUAUCUGCAGCUUCAACAAUCCGAUCAAUUCUCUCUGUCAGAAGUUUUUUUUGGUUCAACCAAAUAUAAUUCAACCUACUAGAUUCUAUUGUCGUGAAUGCAUCUACUAAGAACUGCUGAAAUAGUUUCCCUGACAUCACAACAUGUAGAUGCUUCUCCGUGUCUUUCUAGAAUAUGAUAAGCAUAAAACUCUCUUAUGGUGACUGUUUUCCGUUUUCGUCUAGCUGUAUUGACAAAACCAAUAUCAAUCCCUAAUCUGUAACCAUCCUCUCCGUACGAAAACAACAAAGGAUAUUGCAAAGGCAAGUAUGACGGAUGAAUUUCACUAGUCCUUUGCAAAAUAUCAGAACGACUUUCUAUAACAAUAUCACGUUUAUUCCCUCCGCCAUUAAAAUCACCAAGUAUCAAAGCUGCAACCUCAUUGCUAGUAGGUAGAUUAUGAGUCCUUGCACCUGAGUUCCUAUCAGAAGGUAACCUUAACUUCAAGUUUUUUAAACCGUUAUCCAUGUUGAACCUCUCUCUAGCCGACCUAAAAGCUUUAACAUGCGGAUUAUGACUAUCAAGCAUUUUCUUUAUAAGUUCAACAGUGGAGUGUCUUAGAUUUUCUGUUUACCCAUAUCUCCUACAUACACAAAAAGCUUUAUGAGUUUAGAAAUAUGUAUAGCUGUAUAUAAUAAUAUAUAAGAGAAUAUAAUAAGAUUUUACAGUUACCCGUAUUUAUUUAUUAUGAUUGAAACUUCAUUCAUUACAUCACGAAUAUGUAGCUGUUAAAGCAUCGGCGUUUCCUGGUUUCAGUAAAAUAUCACCAAUACGGUGAUAAUUUUCUCCACACAUUUGAAACAAAUACGGUCCUCUACCAUUAUUAAUAGAAUGAUUAAAUUUUCCUCCUAAAGAUAUAAAUGAAAAAAUCAUAUUAUAUGCUCUUAUAUUAUCACGGUAAUUUGUACAUCUAUCAUCAUGAUUGUAUAAUAGCGAGGACAACGUAUUGGGAGGAGGUUUGAGGACAAGGAGUCUUACUUUCCCUUGAUGGAAACACAUAGAAAAGAUCGGACUACCCUAUAUUACUUGUUUUAUUCAAUCGUUCUCCAAACCACAUAUACGAUCCACAAUGCUCAGAUAUAAAGGCAGGAUCUCCAUCAUCAUAAUAACCUGAGCAAUUUUGAAUACGAUAGUUAUGUUAGAGUUAUUGACUAUAUAUAUUAUAUAUGCUAAAUCAAUAUUUAAAACCAAUAUGAAAUGGUAAAAUACCAUUCUGUUGUAGUCCAGCUUUGACGGGUAUAAAACCACCGAUUACAUUAGAUGACGUAUUAACAUCACCAUGUUCAAUAUCAGCAUCGUCAGUGGACAUUUCAGAUUCGCUUUCUAGAUUAACUUUAAACCAAGAAAAGGAAUCCCAAAAUCAGGUGUAGUCUAAAUAAUUUAACUCAAAUCUGAAAAAGGAAAAACACAAGAAAAAUAAAUUGAGCCAUUCUUUAAAUCAUUGAUGUUGUCUACUUAUGCGAAUACUCUUCCUUGGGUUCCUAAGAUAAGAAAAUAUGAAAAUAAAGUUAUCUAGUUUAACCAAUCUAUCUCUUUAUUCAUAUAUUUAAAUUUAAUAAUAUUAUUUGCACGUGUUAGAAAACCCUAUAUUGCUAUAAAUUAAUCAACCUCUGGAAUACUUGGAUUGACUCUAACUUGCGUACAAAUGCUGUUAGACACAAUUCUUUUUCCUAGCAGAAGAAUAGCAAUUUAUAAAUAUAUUAGAUAACAAUUAAACUGAAUUAUUAGGAAUUAAACAUGUUAAGUCAAGAAUAUUCGGUUUUGUAGGUACCUUGGAAAACAUCUACCACUCCCCAUCGAAUAACACAAAUUAAAGUUCGGCUCCAGCUACUUUCAUAAUCUUCUUCAUCCAUUAUCUCAUUGAAGUCCUCAUCUUCUUCAUCCCCUGGGUUAUAAUUUUUUCCUUAAUCGUUAUUCAAUUAAAACAAAACAAUUAAAAGUGUUUGCAAGACAAAAUCGAAAAUUUAACUCAGACCGGAUUACCGUUUUACCCUUAAUUAAAAUAUCUCUCGCUUAAAUUUUUUGGUUAACUCUAAUUUAAUCAAAACCUAACAAUAAAAAUUAGAAAUAUCUAACCUAAAAUCGGAAAUUUUAUAACUAAAGCCAAAAAAAUACCUCCUACGUUAAAACCCUAGAAAAAGUGUCGUUUACUACUAUAAAUACUAGGGUUGCUAUGCUCUCUCCAUAACUAAAAAAAAAUAAAUCUUUAGUUUUCUAUCAUGUUCGCAGAAUUAUGUUUUGAUAUUGAUCUUUGUUCUUCCUCUUAUUCAUCAUCCUCUAAUUUUUGUUAUCAUGUGGUUGUUUGGAAAGCAAGAUCAAAGAAUACUACACCUUUCUCUAUGCUUAGAUCACCUUUUGAAUUAGGUUUAUUAUCUCAGAAUUCAUUUAUUAUUUUAAAUUAUAUUUAUUCAGAAAAUUUUCUUAUUUAACUUUUUUAUUGGAUAUUCAAAAAAAAAUCUUAUUUAAUUUUUAUAUUGGUUAUUUAUUGUAGAGGAUGUUAGAGAAGAUGUUACAUUGUUAUCUACACAUUCAAGAUCUAAAUUCCUAAGUUGGAUGGAAAGCAAUUCAAUAGAUGCUGAAGCAAGCAAGUACAAAUAUGAAGAAUUUACAAGAGGAUUUAUUUGGUGUAGUUAAGAAAAUAAGUGGAAGCAAAUGUCCCAAAAAAAAAAAAAGCCAAGAAUUCAAAAAAAAAUUUAAUCCUUAUAAUUGUAUUUUUGUCAAAAUGUUUUAUGAUGCAUCUUCAAUUUUUAGGAAAAAAAUAAUGUUGGGCUGUUUUUUAGAUAUAAGAGUCUAAAAUUUCAAGUUUAAUAAAAUUAACUUUUUACAUUACUAAUGAAAUUAAAUCUGAAGCAUAGACAUCAUUAGCAAACCCUAUAUUCAAGUAUAUAAUAUACUAAUUUCGCUAAAGAAAGUUAUGUCGAGUAAAUUCUAUAUUCUAAUUUUGCUAAAUUCGAAUUUCAUAUUGUAAAAUUAUUAAAUUAAAUAAAUCUAGAGCAUCCUCAUUUAAAUAAUUUUGAGUUGUUAAUAUUACACUAGAUGAUGACCCGCACGUACGUGCGGGUGUAUUUUCAAAAUAUAGUUUGCUGGUUUAGUUUUCUUAAAUAAUAAUAAUGUAAUGUGAUUUGGCUUUUUAUAAAAUUUUUUAUUUCAUUUAGUUGAAGGAUUAAUGACUGCAUUUGUUAACUGGAGUAAUAUAAUAGAAAUAGUUGAAUUGGAAAACCAAAGUUUAUAAUGAGAAAGUCUUGAAGAUGGUAUUGAAAGAAAUGUAACCGAAGUCAUACAUGCAGGAAAUGAAAAGAAAAGAAAAAAUGGAGAAUUAUAAUUUAAAGGUUCUUGAACACUUCUUUGAAGACCACAUUGGUUGUUCUCAUUACCUUGUGUCUCUGAGUUCUAUUUCCAACCGUUUCGAUAUUUUGCCAUUUUGAUCAUGAAUUUUUAUAGCUCCAACGCUCACGACCUGUUCUAACACAUCUGUCAUAUUUUCAUAUGCAAAGAACCAUAAAUAUCCGCACAUACAUAAAUGACAAACCAAAUUCAUAAACGUAGUUUAGAAAGUUGUAAUAUCACAAGAUUGUUUUAUGUCUAAAAAUUCUUACUAAUUAAAAUGUUCUCCUUGAGACCAUUGUCAUCGAGGAUGUUUCCAGAGUCAGCCAAGUCGUGAAACAUGUCAUCGGAUAGGAUAGGUGAGCGGCCUAUGACCCUUGUGUUAGUGAAGGUCAUCUUGAAGGCAUGUUUAGGAUCUCUAUUUUUCCCCAUUGAUUUAGUGAGCUGAAAAUUCUCAAAAGUCCUCCACUCUCCUGACACAAUCAUUCUGUAAAACUUAUUCACUUGUUCUUUCUUAACAGUUGCAUGGAUCAGUGUUCCCUGCACAAUGAUAGUAUUUAGUUAGUAUAAAAACGCAAACAUAUAUAGAAAUAACAAAUAAAAUAUGAAAUUAUAUUCAGACCUCCAGAUCUGCAAGAAUCAUCUCAAUGGUUUCCCCAUAAUAAGAAGUGUAAUGCCUCCAAGAGUGUACGAUCUUAGCUUGCACCUUCCAGGUUGUUUUGAAAGGCUUAAUCAGAGCUAGGCUUGUGAUACCAUUAGCUUCUGCCAUUUUUUUGAGUGAAAAAUUGUGUUUAUCGUUAAUAAUCUUUUGGGAGGAGUAUACACAAUCGAUGGAUUAUUCUCUUAUUUAUAUUAAUACUAUUGGAACCUAGAAUAUUCUUGGUAUUUAUUAUUUUCAUAUAUUUAGUUGUUAAUUUUUGGUAAGUUUUCGAAUUUCGAAAUUGUAAGUAUGAUUUUUUGGUUUAGGAAACAAAAUUAAUCGUGAUUUGAUGAAUCCAAACUAAUGAAUAAAUUUUUUGUUAUAUUUUAGGAAUAUAUUUUUAAGAGUGAUUAUAUUAUUUAGUCAUCUCUAGCAAAAUUUCCAUUGAUGAUGACUAAUUAAAUUUUAUUAGUUUAAUUUGUUUUUAUAAUUGUUUCUAUAAUUAAGGGAUUCAAAGUAAAGAAUAAAUAGUUUGCUAUAUUUUAGCAUAACACCCAAAUUUCCAUCGAUGAGUGUUGAUUUAAUUUUAUGAGUUUAUUUUGUUUUUAUAGAGUGAUUAUAUUAUCAUCUAUAACAAAUUUAUUUUAAAGAGUGGUUAUAUUAUCAUCUAUAGCAAAAAUUCUGUCGAUGAAGGUACGUUAAUUUUUUUGAGUUUUCUAAAAUUGUAUCUAUAAUUUAGGGAUUCGGUUUUGAUGGUGUUGAAUUUAAUUUCAUCAGCUAAAUUUGUUUUUAUUAUUUCGUUUAAAUUUUCUGAGUUUUCUAAAAUUGUUUCUAUAAUUUAGGGAUUCGUUUUUGAUGGUGUUGAAUUUAGUUUCAUCAGCUAAAUUUGUUUCUAUUAUUUCGGUUAUGUAGUAUUCUUAAAAGCAUUUUGGUUUUGUUUUACUUUUUUUUUAUUGUAUAAACUAUGAUUGACUUAUACAAAAUGCUUCCCUUUUAAUAGUAUAGAUAUUCUGGAUCUACAAAAAGUUUUAAGCUUAUCAAAAUUCUAUAAGAUAAUAAACGUUCAGAAAAUAUUAAUAAUUUUAAAUAUAAAACAUUCAGAAUUCCUUAAACUUUUUGUAUAUGUGAUAUGUUUAAACACUAAUUCAAGUUAAACUUUAGAAAAUUAAUAAAAUGAAUUAAAUUAAAAAAUAUAUUUAAGAAAAUAAUUGAUGGAAAUAUUACGUUUAAUUAUCUAUAGAUGAUAUGGAUAGAGAUAAAUAUAAAUUGCAUCGUUAACCUAUCUAACUUUAAAAAUAAAAUAAAACAUCUAUAAAUUGUAUUAAUCUAAAAUAUUCAAAAUAUAGAAAACCUAAUCUUUGAUAUAUAUCAAAUAUAUAUAUAUAUAUAUAAUAAAUAUAAACCGAUAAAGAUGUAUAUAUUUAGUCAUCCAAUAGAGGAAAAUUCACAAUAUAUUAUUUAUAUUUUCACUAACUGAUAUUCACUGAAUCUUUUUUAAAAGCAUAAUUUAGGAUAUUUAAAAAUUUAACAAUUUUAGGGCGACGGGUAUAGAAAUAAUUACUGUUUAAAAUAAUGAUUUAACAUAAAGUAGAGAUAAGUAUCCUAAUUUGUAAAAAAAUAAAAUAUUCAUAACUAAAAUAUCUUUUGAAAUUAUCUAAAUUCCGUGACUAUGUGUAUAAAUACUUAACCUAGCAUUCCCAAUCUUUCAUAUUUCAAUCAAUCUUCAAAGGUACCAUAUUCAUUUUCAUGUGAUUUAGUAAAAAAAUAUUUUAUGUUCAUAGUUUAUAUUCUUUAACAAAAUAGUCUCGAUUAAAGAAGUAGUCAAAAGGGCUCACAUUCGCUCUCAGAAAAAAAAAAAAAAAACUAAGUUACCCUUAAUGAAAAAUACCUCUGGGUUAUAAUUUUUUCCUUAAUCCUUAUUUAAUUAAAAAAAAUUAAAAUCGAGUGUUAAGAAGACAAUAUCGAUUUACCUCAGCCCGAAUUACAGUUUUACCUUUAAUGGAAAAAUACCCCUGGCUUAAAAUUUUUGGUUAGCUCUUAUUUAAUCAAAACCUAAAAAUAAAAAUUUGAAAUAUCUAACCUACAAUUGGAAAUUUUAUAACUAGCACAAAUUUGUUUUAUAAAUGAUAUAUAAUGUUUCAAAUUUAGGAUUUAGAGGAAAUGGGCAUAUGUCAAAAAAACCCGCUAAAAAAACACCUCCUAACUUGAAACCCUAGAAAAAACAAACUUUCUUUACUACUAUAAAUACUAGGGUUUCAAUGCUCUCUCCAUAACUAUAAAAAAAGAGUAAAUCUUUAGUUUUCUAUCAUGUUCGCAGAAUAAUGUUUUGAUUAUGAUUUUUGUUCUUCUGCUUAUUCAUCAUCCUCUAAUUUCUGUUGUUUGGAAAGCAAAAUCAAAGAAUAUUACACUUUUCUCUAUGGUUACAUCACCUUUUAAAUUAUGUAUAUUAUCUCAGAAUUCAUUUAUUAUUUUAAAUUAUAUUUAUUCAGAAAAAUUCUUAUUUAAUUUUUAUAUUGGUUAUUUUUUAAGAAGAUGUUAGAGAAGAUGUUACAUUUCUAUCUACAAAUUCAAUAUCUAAGUUCCUAAGUUGGAUGGAAUUCAAUUCAAUAGAUGCUGAAGCAAGCAAGUAAUUCAGUGUGUUGCUUAUUAUGAACAUGCUGAUCAUUUCCGUAAUUGUUGAUGCCCUUCUUAUAAUUCUCCAAUUGUUGGCGUUUUACGUUUCUAGAGACCAAAAUAUACUGUUGGAGGUAUAUAUUUAUUUCAAAAUAAUCAAAAUUUACAAAAUUAAAUAAUUGCUAUAUAAAUGUGAAUUUUUAAAUGUAGGUGAAAUAUUAGAACUGCUAAGUGUCUCUGGAGCUCCUACAAUCUACAUUUGAUCCGCCAUAUACUGAAGAGAUUUUAGAAACAUACAGGUACAACUUACUGUACAAUUAUAAUAGUAAAUUAUUAAAUAAUACAAGUAAUCUAAUAUAACCUAUUACAGUUUGGCGUUCAAGAGAGACAGUGAUGAUGAAUUGUAAUAUUUCCAAUAAAUCUACAAAUGAAAGAUAUGUAAUCACAAUUUCAUAUGCGUUUUUGUAAUGAACUUUACCGGUAAUGUACUAUAUUUUCAAUAAUUUAAACGUAUGUGGUAUUUUGUAAAGUUUUAUUCUCAUAAUAAAUUUAAUAAAUAUUAUAAAGUUUAAUUCUCAUCUUCAAAAAGUAUAACGCAAACGGUAUAUACUUUUUCGGUGAACCGCGCUUCCCCUAGUAACUAAUAUAAAAUUGGACCAAUCUGGAAAAUGUAUGAAGUCUUCUGAAUUGGUCUAACUUAAUUUUAGUUGUUUUUUAUAUAAGUUAUGAAGUACAUAUUGUUAGUCUAGGUGAGCUUAAUUAAACACCAAAACCUUAAGUUAUUGAAUAACACACCAUAUUUUUUAGAAAACUCGGUUAGAAUUUGAAGUGUGAAUGGAGAAUUCUCCCACAUGAUAUGGAUGUUGAAGUCAUUAAGAUGAAAUCAGCCAAAUACGAAAAGUUGAUCAUGCUUGAAUUUUGAAAUUUUAGGGCAAACAUGUGUGUCUAGAUACUUUCUAGCUAAGCUGCAUGGAAUCGGAAGCGGGUACGCGGAAGCGGAAGCGUUUGGAAACGUGGAAUCGAGUUUUUUCAAAAAUUUAGGAAGCGGGUACGUGUUGGAAGCGUAAAUACAUAUAAAUAUAUAUAUAUAUAUAUAUAAUAUCAAAUAUCUAAUAUGAUGAUUAUAAAAGUCAUAUUUAUAAAUAUAUAAUAGAUUGUUUAGUUUUGUCAUUUAUAUAAUGAUGUAAGGUGGUACAGUGGUUAGUUGAUUUGUGACUCUUAGCAAGGACAUGAGUUCGAUCAACAUAGUUUUUUUUUUAAUUAAAAUUUUAUAUUAAACAAUAAAGAUCUUUAUCAUCUUCUUCCCCAACCUUUUUUCAAAACCCUAAACUACAGAGAGCGACUGUUUUUAUUUUUUUCACAGUUUUCUUCAUUCACUUUUAUUUUAUACAUUAUUUUGCUAAAUCUAAGUAUGUUAUUUGAUAUUAACCAAAAUCAGACAUAAAAAUCUAAGAUCUAACUAAAUCUAAAAUUUUGCCGCGACGCUUCCAAUCUCCUCCUCCACGCUUCCUACUCGGAAGCUUACGCUUCCACACGAUUCCAAAAGACUCAUUUUCAGAAGCGCGAUUCCGAGACGAUUCCAAGCGAUUCCGAACGAUUCCGCUCCCGUUUCCGGUUCUGAAGCGAGAAGCGACACAUCUCCGGCGAUUCCAUGUAACGUAGCUUUCUAGGGGCUGUAGCAUGUAGGGAGUCUUGAAAGUGAAUAAGACAAUUUGAUGAAUUGAACACUCCUUGGUUUAUUUAAACCAACUUGAACCAUUAGUGAUUUUCUUGAUUUAAGUAUUCAAAUUGGUUGGUUUACUAAUGAAUAAUGAAGCUCAUAUCAAUUGGCUGAUCAAAUUCUCCAUUUGGAAACUUGUAAAGACUCGUAACGUUGUUACUCAUGAAGGGGUUUUGGACAUCUUUCAAUAGUUCGGACAUCUUUCAUGAAGGCUCUCACGACAUACUCUUGAUUUACUCUUAUUAUAAAUUAUAUUAUUUUCCAUAAAAUAGCUAUGUUAUUAAUAAAUUUUGAAGCCCUCAUGAAAUUGACGAAUGUUUUGAUAUACCGAUCGGGUUUAGUUAUAAAAAAAUUCGGGCUCGGGUAAAGCUCGAAAACCCAAAAAAAAACCCGAAACCAGAUUCUAUACAUACAUGUCGAUAGGCAUGUCAAUUAGGGCUAAAGCCUGCGGGGGUUCGGCCCUAAAAAACAUCGGGUUCGGGCUUAAAUAUAUAUGUCCAGAAAAAAUCGGGGUUUUUGGGCUAAGCCUAUUUGGUCUAAAGGGUUUUUUGGGCUUAACACCCGGUCGGGUUCGGGCCGGCCCGAAAAGCCCUUAAACAAAUAUAUUUUAAAUUUUUUAAUAGUUUAGUUUGAUUAGAAGAUUUGAUUAAUGAUUUAGUUUUCAUAUUUACUUACUUGUCUUACUUAAAACUUUAUCUAUAAUAUUUUCUAUUAUUUAUAUAUGUCAAAACUGAACAAAGCUAAAACUAUAUAUAUAUAUAUAUAUAUAUAUAGUAUCUUGAUUUUGAAAUCAUCAAAAUAUAUAUUAAAUUUUGAUUCUAUCAUCUACUUUAGAGUAUUUUAGUUCCAUGUUUUAUAGGGUUAAAGUGUAAAUAAUUUAUUUGGUUUUCAUUUUUUCUCUUAAAUUAAGUUAGUUUUAUUAAAUAAUGAUAAGUUAUUUUAAAUAUGAUGCAUUAUUUUUAUAGUAGACCUUUAAAUAUUGUUUUUUAGAAACUAUUGUAAAUAAAGCCCAAAAAACCCGAAAAACCCUGUAGCCCUAUUAGGGCCGGGCCGGGUUUUGAAAUAUAGGCUCGGAUAUUUUUUGGUCCGGACCGGGCCGAGCUCAGAUAUAUGAGGACUUUACGGGUUUUGGGCCGGGCCGGGCCAGCCCGUUUGACAUACCUGAUGUCGAUAUAAUAUAUGUCUCUAACUCGAGAUACCCAAAGUUUUGUUGGAUUUAAGUUGUGAUAAGGCGUUUGAAGUUUCUUUUAUACAUGUUUAUUUAUAUUAUUUUUUUGUUUUCCACUUUACAAAGUUUGAGAUCCUUUCGCAAUAUGCGAUUAAACUCCAAUGAUACAAGGUAAUAUAAGUUCAAUUAUUGCUCACGAACUUGUUGCAUUGCUGACUUUCGGUUGUCAUUUAUUAAGCAUCUCAAUCAACAAGAAAUGGAACUUGAGGAUGGAGCAAAGAGCCAAAGAUGAUAGAACUUAGUCAUGUACUUGUUCGGAUUUGGAGUCUUUCUUUUUUAAAACUUUCAUGGAUGUAGUGUUGCUUUGUGUCUAUCUUUUUUUUUUUAACGUUCCUAAACUCCAAUGCUACUUCUCUACUAUUUGCUUCUAUUUGGAUUAUUAUUUGGUGAGAUUAGAUUAUAAUUUUUGUUUUUGUGAAAAAAUUUAUUGGUUAGUACGGUUAUUGAGAAUGCGAAACAAAUCUGAGCCUGAACCUGAAUAGCCCAAACCAAACCCAAGCCCACCUGAAGGUAUAUAUAUACCCGAAUGGGCUCUAGAGAUCUAAACCCAAAACCCAAAAAGCCCGAAAAGCCCGAAAAGCCCAAACGGACCCCCGAACUAGUUUUGAAGGUAAUUUCAUGAAUUCUAUCGUGGUAAAGUCUAGGUAAGAUUCAACUCUGUUUGGUAGCUUGACUUGUUGACUUGUGAUCUCACACCUAAACUAUUAAUCAUCUUAGAAUGAUUUCUAAAAGAAAUAUCCAGUCUUAGGCCAGAUACUUGGUUGAAACUUGGUUUAAGAAAAAAUCUAUUUUUUCUUUAUCCAAUAAGUUUUGGUUGAUAUUUUAACAGACUUAUAUGGUUAACUAUGGGCCUGGUUAAACUCAACGGGGAAUGGAACCAAACGAGCAUAUACGAACCCAUCAUAUUUCAAUACAUUUUCUAUAUUUAGUUAUAAUAAAAUACCAUUAUUUUCUCUUACACGCAUAUAUUUAACUGAAAGGAAUUAUUUCAAUUUUUUCUUAUUUUUUACCAAUACAUUAUUAUUAUUUUAUCGUAAGGAAAUGUAAGGUGAUGAAAAUAUCAUCACAUAUCUUUGGCUACUACAUUGUUUAUAUAUAUAUAUAAUAUGACUUGGUUUUCAAAUACAAGUAAAGAAAGCUUCUUUUGUCAUGAAUGACAACAAACAUUUUAAACUACAUAGUUGUUCUCAAUUUCACUCUACAGAUUCACAUUCUUAAAAUGCCACUUUUUAGCAAUAAGUUUUAUAUAAGCUAGUAUAAGAAAACAUCACAUUUUAUAGGUAGCAAGAAGUUUGAUCUCUCUGUUUUUUUGUCAAGCAUUUUGAUAUCUCAAACAUUGAUUUUCGUUUUUUUUUUAAUUUACUUUUACAAUUAAUAUAUGCCUUAAUAUUUUUGUUAUUGUUCCCCCCCAUUCGCAUUCUCAGGGCCAUGUAGGUUUACAACUUCAAAUACAUGAAUGGCAAUGCUUUGAAUAACUGCCUACUACACCAAUCUUGAUCUCGUUAAAGACCUUUCGAUCCCAAACCUCUUUUCUGACUUUCUUCUCUAUAAGAAAACCGACAAUUAGCUAAUAAUACCAAAAAAGGAAAAAAAAACUAGUAGAAAACCCGAGAGGAGUAGAAUGAAAAUUUAUUAAAUCAUAAAAAUAAAUUAUUGUAAAUAAUUGAUGUGAAGAUAUAAAUUGUGAACCAUAUAACAAAAAUAAAAAGAUCAACUUAUGAAAAAAAAUAAACAAUAUACCUAUGAAGGCAUGACGAAGAUUUGCCCGGUGUGUGGUCUCUUUGGGUAUAUUGCCCCAGCGGACGUGUGGAGGGAGUAGAGAAGGCAGGAAGUAGGAAUACACCGAGUUUAGCCGGAGAGCCAGUUAGUGCAAUGCCAGUUGAAGAGGAGUUCACGGUGGUAAGAAGGUCCGCUUGUCGAUCGGAACCGUCACGUCCACCUUCUGUGUUUGUUCCUGGUGGGUCG
rnacentral:lncRNA from 1 species